rnacentral:sRNA from 1 species
GGCCAUCAAGGUCGCGUUUUCUGGUGCGCCCUGCGUUGUCAGUGGUCUUGCAUCUGAAACAUGAACGGGCACCCAGUUGAGCGUUUUGGUGGUUCCCGAAUCUAAUUGCCUCCGAUAUAGUCAAGUGGACAACCUGCGGUCCAUCGGAGCCAGGUGAAGGAGGGUGGAGGAAACAAACAUUCGAGAGGAUGUUUCCAUUCUCGCUCAUGUACGGUAUCGGGAUCGAGCGCACAACUCCAGCGCAUGGGAGCUAGAGGGUUGUGAGAGCGAACUGUGAACUGCCGCCCUGAAGCGUAAGGCAAAGGAGGCUUGGAAAUAUUGAAUCGGGAGCAAAAACUGGCACUCAAAGGAUAUGUCAUGUUGCGAUAUGGGAGUGUGGAAG